rnacentral:rRNA from 1 species
UUCGCAAUGCCCGAAAGGGUGACGAACCGACGCCGCGUGUGGGAAGAAGGCCUUCGGGUUGUAAACCACUGUUGGGAGUAAGGAAGUGUGGAGGUGUUAAUAGCGCUUUCACUUGACUAAAGCUCCAGAGGAAGCCACGGCUAACUCUGUGCCAGCAGCCGCGGUAAUACAGAGGCGGCAAGCGUUGUUCGGAAUUAUUGGGCGUAAAGAGCACGUAGGCGGCUCUGCAAGUCAGCUGUGAAAGCCUUCUGCUUAACGGAAGAACGGCAGUUGAAACUACAGGGCUUGAGUGCGGGAGGGGAGAGUGGAACUUCUGGUGGAGCGGUGAAAUGCGUAGAUAUCAGAAGGAACGCCGGCGGCGAAAGCGGCUCUCUGGUCCGUAACUGACGCUGAGUGUGCGAAAGCUAGGGGAGCAAACGGGAUUAGAUACCCCGGUAGUCCUAGCCGUAAACGAAGGGCACUAAGUAGAGGGGUUUU